rnacentral:tRNA from 1 species
GGGACUAUGGGCGAAACAGGAAUAAGCCGCCUGACUUUCACUCAGGAAAUUACCGGUUCGAUCCCGGUUAGUCCUACCA